rnacentral:rRNA from 2 species
GCUAUACAUGCAGUCGAGCGGACUUAAAAAGCUUGCUUUUUAAGUUAGCGGCGGACGGGUGAGUAACACGUGGGCAACCUGCCUGUAAGACUGGGAUAACUUCGGGAAACCGGAGCUAAUACCGGAUAAUCCUUUCCUACUCAUGUAGGAAAGCUGAAAGACGGUUUACGCUGUCACUUACAGAUGGGCCCGCGGCGCAUUAGCUAGUUGGUGAGGUAACGGCUCACCAAGGCGACGAUGCGUACCCGACCUGAGAGGGUGAUCGGCCACACUGGGACUGAGACACGGCCCAGACUCCUACGGGAGGCAGCAGUAGGGAAUCUUCCGCAAUGGACGAAAGUCUGACGGAGCAACGCCGCGUGAGUGAUGAAGGUUUUCGGAUCGUAAAACUCUGUUGUUAGGGAAGAACAAGUACGAGAGUAACUGCUCGUACCUUGACGGUACCUAACCAGAAAGCCACGGCUAACUACGUGCCAGCAGCCGCGGUAAUACGUAGGUGGCAAGCGUUGUCCGGAAUUAUUGGGCGUAAAGCGCGCGCAGGCGGUCCUUUAAGUCUGAUGUGAAAGCCCACGGCUCAACCGUGGAGGGUCAUUGAAAACUGGGGGACUUGAGUGCA